UGCCAGCCGCCGCGGUAAUACGAAGGGUGCUAGCGUUGUUCGGAAUUACUGGGCGUAAAGGGCGCGUAGGCGGACCUAUCAGUCAGUGGUGAAAUCCCGGGGCUCAACCUCGGAACUGCCUUUGAUACUGUAGGUCUUGAGGACGGGAGAGGGUCGUGGAAUUCCCAGUGUAGAGGUGAAAUUCGUAGAUAUUGGGAAGAACACCGGUGGCGAAGGCGGCGACCUGGACCGUAUCUGACGCUGAGGCGCGAAAGCGUGGGGAGCAAACAGGAUUAGAUA
rnacentral:rRNA from 1 species